rnacentral:lncRNA from 1 species
CUCAUUGUCCCCGCCCCUUGCUCUGUUUUCUUCCAGCUGCCGGACCAGCGGGCCUGCCGCCUCUACGGACCAGUCCCUGCUCAGGCGUGCACACCGAGCGGCGGGGCGCUGUGGAACGCGGGAGCGGACUAGCGGAGGAGGAUGCGGACCAAGCCCCAGCGACCCAGGGCAACUCGGAGCUACCUCGGGCAGCCCUGCGGGUCUCCGAGGAGAACCGAGGAGACGGGAGAAACAUGGGAGAGGGUGGCCUUUUCCCUGUUCACACACACAUGCACGCAGCCACUGGCCGGGACAGUUGACACCCAUCUUCCUUCCCUGCUCCUUCCAGUCAUUCUACACCCGCUUGGUGCUGCCAGUGCGGGCAGGGCCUUGGAGCCCAAAGCGGAUCCCCACACUUGUCCCUACGGUCGGAAGGAAAGUAGAGGAGAGAAAGUCAGGCGCGGCAGGGCUAAGAGCAAUAGUGGCCCAAAUGUUCCUGGCCCGCCUGCUGCGCCACAGAGUCUGAAAAGCGGGUCUCCGUCUACCAGAAGGUGACCUCCACACAGCCCCUCUCCCCGACCAACUGCAGCACCCAAGGACUGGCAACGUGGUUGGAGCUUUUGGGGGGAAUUAUGAAGAAAUCUGAAUAAAUUUCUCACCCUUCAUGUUUCCUGUUUUAUUUCCAAAGUCCUUCAGUAUCAGGUUUUUCCUAUUUCCUCAAUUGGACCACGGGUCCAAUAAAAGGUUUAAAAUACACACACACACACACACACACACACACACACACAAAGAAAACAAAAACAAAAAAAAAAGUUUAGGGAGCUGGGAGAUGAAGCCAAAAGAAAUGUUUUGGAGACAAGGAUUAGAUUAAAGCUCAAACUUGAAAAUCAAUUUUGAGUAAGAGACUGAUUGUGCUGCAGCGUGACUUUGAUGUGGACUGCACGGAAUAGAAACACACACUAGAUACCUCUGUGGAGGCCUAGCAAAAGGAGCAGACGCAGGGUGUGUCCCACCAAGAUAGGGAGGCUGCCACUGGCACUGAGAUUCUGCUGCCCAAUUUCCAACCCCAGGAUACUGGGUGGCAAUUAGACAAUUCAUUCAAUAAAGAUAUUUUCUGUACUCCUUUUAUUUAUAUGCCAGACUUUGUGGUGGGUAAUUAGGUGGGGAGGGAGUGUAUUUGAAAAUUGUCCUUGCCCUCAAUAAAGCCUAAAAUUUUCA